rnacentral:lncRNA from 1 species
GUGAGGCUGAAGAAAGAGGAGAAGAGCCGGCAGGAGCUGGAGAAACUCAAGAGGAAACUGGAGGGUGAUGCCAGUGACUUCCACGAGCAGAUCGCUGACCUGCAGGCCCAGAUUGCAGAGCUCAAGAUGCAGCUGGCAAAGAAAGAGGAAGAGCUACAGGCAGCUCUAGCCAGGCUCGAUGAAGAGAUCACCCAGAAAAACAAUGCCCUAAAGAAGAUUCGAGAGCUGGAGGGCCAUGUCUCAGACCUACAGGAGGACCUGGACUCAGAGCGAGCUGCUAGGAACAAGGCUGAGAAACAGAAGCGAGACCUGGGGGAGGAACUGGAGGCGCUCAAGACAGAGCUGGAAGAUACACUGGACAGCACAGCUACCCAGCAGGAGCUCAGAGCCAAGAGGGAACAGGAAGUGACAAUGCUGAAGAAGGCCCUGGAUGAAGAGACGCGAUCCCAUGAGGCCCAGGUCCAGGAGAUGAGGCAGAAGCACACACAGGCAGUGGAGGAACUCACAGAGCAGCUGGAACAGUUCAAAAGGGCCAAGGCAAACCUGGAUAAAAGCAAGCAGACGCUGGAGAAGGAGAACGCAGACCUGGCUGGGGAGCUGCGUGUCCUGGGCCAGGCAAAGCAGGAGGUAGAGCACAAGAAGAAGAAGCUGGAGGGGCAGCUGCAGGAGCUGCAGUCCAAGUGCAGUGAUGGGGAGCGUGCCCGGACUGAGCUCAGUGACAAGGUCCACAAACUACAGAAUGAAGUGGAGAGUGUCACAGGCAUGCUCAAUGAGGCAGAAGGCAAGGCCAUUAAACUGGCCAAGGAAGUGGCUUCCCUUGGAUCUCAACUUCAGGACACCCAAGAGCUGCUUCAAGAAGAAACCCGGCAGAAGCUCAAUGUGUCCACCAAGCUGCGCCAGUUGGAAGAUGAGAGGAACAGCCUGCAGGACCAGCUGGAUGAGGAGAUGGAAGCUAAGCAAAACCUUGAGCGCCAUGUCUCCACCUUGAACAUUCAGCUCUCAGACUCUAAGAAGAAGCUGCAGGACCUUGCAAGCACUAUUGAGGUCAUGGAGGAGGGGAAGAAGAGGUUGCAGAAAGAGAUGGAGGGUCUCGGCCAGCAGUAUGAGGAGAAGGCCGCUGCCUAUGACAAACUGGAGAAAACUAAGAACAGGCUUCAGCAGGAGCUAGAUGACUUGGUCGUGGACUUGGACAACCAGCGGCAACUGGUAUCCAAUCUGGAAAAGAAGCAGAAGAAAUUCGAUCAGUUGUUAGCUGAGGAAAAGAACAUCUCCUCCAAGUAUGCGGAUGAGAGAGACCGAGCUGAAGCAGAGGCCAGGGAAAAGGAAACGAAGGCUUUGUCUCUGGCCCGGGCCCUGGAGGAAGCCCUGGAAGCCAAAGAGGAACUGGAAAGGACCAACAAGAUGCUCAAGGCCGAGAUGGAAGACCUGGUCAGCUCCAAGGAUGACGUGGGCAAGAAUGUGCACGAGCUGGAGAAGUCCAAACGAGCCCUGGAGACCCAGAUGGAAGAGAUGAGAACUCAGCUAGAGGAGCUGGAGGACGAGCUGCAGGCCACUGAAGACGCCAAGCUGCGGCUGGAGGUCAACAUGCAGGCCCUCAAGGGCCAGUUUGAACGAGAUCUCCAGGCUCGGGAUGAGCAGAAUGAGGAGAAGAGGAGGCAGCUACAGCGGCAGCUGCAUGAGUAUGAGACAGAACUGGAAGAUGAACGGAAGCAAAGGGCUCUGGCGGCAGCAGCCAAGAAGAAGCUGGAAGGGGAUCUGAAAGACCUGGAACUCCAGGCUGACUCAGCCGUCAAAGGGAGGGAGGAAGCCAUCAAGCAGCUUCGAAAACUGCAGGCUCAGAUGAAGGACUUCCAAAGAGAGCUGGAUGAUGCCCGUGCCUCCAGAGAUGAGAUCUUUGCCACCUCAAAAGAGAAUGAGAAGAAAGCCAAGAGUCUGGAGGCAGAGCUCAUGCAGCUCCAGGAGGACCUGGCAGCAGCUGAGAGAGCUCGCAAGCAAGCUGACCUGGAGAAGGAGGAGCUGGCUGAGGAGCUGGCUAGCAGCUUAUCAGGAAGGAAUACACUGCAGGAUGAGAAGCGCCGCCUGGAGGCAAGGAUCGCCCAGCUGGAGGAGGAGCUGGAGGAAGAGCAGGGCAACAUGGAGGCCAUGAGUGACAGAGUCCGCAAGGCCACAUUGCAGGCUGAGCAACUGAGCAAUGAGCUGGUCACUGAGCGCAGUGCAGCUCAGAAGAAUGAGAGUGCACGGCAACAGCUGGAGCGCCAGAACAAGGAACUCCGAAGCAAGUUGCAGGAGGUAGAAGGUGCUGUCAAAGCCAAGCUUAAGUCCACUGUUGCGGCACUAGAGGCCAAGAUUGUGCAGCUGGAGGAGCAGAUUGAACAAGAGGCCAGAGAAAAACAGGCAGCCACCAAGUUGCUGAAGCAAAAGGACAAGAAGCUAAAGGAGGUCCUACUGCAGGUGGAGGAUGAGCGCAAGAUGGUGGAGCAGUACAAGGAGCAGGCAGAGAAAGGAAACACCAAGGUCAAGCAGCUCAAGAGGCAGCUGGAAGAGGCCGAGGAGGAAUCCCAGCGCAUCAAUGCCAACCGCAGGAAGCUGCAGCGGGAGCUGGAUGAGGCCACUGAGAGCAAUGAGGCCAUGGGCCGUGAGGUGAAUGCCCUCAAGAGCAAACUCAGGAGAGGAAACGAGGCUUCAUUUGUUCCUUCCAGAAGGGCUGGAGGCCGUAGAGUUAUUGAAAACACAGAUGGUUCUGAAGAAGAAAUGGAUGCUCGGGACUCAGACUUCAAUGGAACCAAAGCCAGUGAAUAAAUUCAGUUGGACACUAUGUCAGGGAAAACAAAAUACCAAAUGACAGCAAAGCCCAGCAGGCUGAUUAGCAUUUGUCUCCAUUCGUUCUCAAGUCAUAGACAUUACCCCACCUCUCACCAGGAGUCAACCACAGCCCUGCACAAAGGAUGUGAAUUUAAGUUUUUAAAUGUGCUACCAGAGAAAAUCCAGAUAGAUGCAGGUCGGGAGCUGCAGUCGCCAGUGCCUUUGUUUACAUGAAAUGGAACGUUACGUGAAUGGGUGCCCCAGCCCGCAACCCGCUCCCAACCAUCAACUGCCUGACCUUCCAGUUUGGGAGGAAAACCUGUUUGAAAAUUCCCCUCCCUUUCCUGCCUGCACACCUCAGACACACAGUUCACUAAGACCAAGUGACUUUUUCAGUCAUCUGAAUUAAGGAAGAGCAGAGCGAGCGCACCGCCUUAUUUGCACCCACGGACACUUUCACGAAUAAAAGGUUUUAAGUCACGAG